UUUUUCUUGAUCACGGAAGUGGUUCAUAUCUAAAGUCUUACACAGAAGCGUUGGUUUAUCACCUGUGGUCACCUGCAGUACUGGUCCUGGCAAGGUCCGUGUUUAUGACGAGAAACACUGUAAAGUGAACAAAAGAGGAGACGCUGCCGUGAGAGGGAGGACCAUUUAUCAGCUGGGACCAGGAGCAGGAGACCAAAACACAAACACGGGGAAGGAAACGCUGCGUGGACACGUUUUCAUCAGAGAAAUGGCAGUCAGGUUUUUUUUGAAGGAGCGUGAGGAUGGUGAGCUAAUCCCAGGACCAGGACAAGGACAAAGGACAAAGGACAAGGACAAGGACAUGGACAUGGACAUGGACAAGGACGUGUCUUCCACAGACUGUGACGCUUCCGCAACUUUUCUCUCUUCCACGUCGAGGAACAUCGUCUCCCCUCGUCCUCGUCGCUGUGAGUCAAUUAAAGACAACCAGAUAAAAUGGAAGAAGAGGAAAAAAGAGGUUGUGCCGACUCGCUCGGGGCCGCAGCAUCAUCAUCAGCAGCAGCAGCAGCAGUGGAAGCUCCUGAGGAUCCUCCGGCUCUGCUCUUCGCUGACAUCUUAGAUGCGAUGGUGACGAGGGAGAAGAGACGAGGAAGACAAAAGGGAAAAGUAAAGAGUGUGCGGAUGAAGAAGCAGCAGCUGCAGUUCGGAGAUUAGGACUUCUGGGACAGAGAAACAAAGUCUGUGUAGAUUAUAGAUUAUUGGAUCAGAGCCACAGUGUUCUUCUUAUGCCUGAUAUUAUUUAUGUAUAUUUGGGGGCGUGGCUUCACCAGUUUGAGGUCCCAACCAGAUUAUCUGAGUGUGGUUGUCAAUUCAAUUCACACACAGAGCAAACACUAGGGGGCAGUGGAGAGAAAACUCCCUGACAGAAGCAGACUCACAGAUGUGCAGCGUCUGCCACGACAGGUUGUGGUGAAAGGAGAGGAAGGACGAGAGGGAGGGAGGUGACUUAGAGACAGUUUAUAUCAACUUUAAUUAAAGCACAAUAAUAAUAAUAACGGUGAUGAUAUUUAUGACAAUAAUAGCCUCGAAACAGGAUCUGGAUCCUGCAACCUGCAAGAUGAGGACACAGAGAGCGGACAGGAAGGAAAGACUAGAACUAGAACUAGAAUAAAUGCACGUAUGGAUAGUUUUUUUUUUCAUAUUCAAUUAAAAAUGUAAAAUCAGUUUUAUUCUCUAUAAAACAAAAAAAGUAGUUACUUUUGUCCUUUUUUCAGAUUUGACUGAAUCUGAUGUGGAUGUUUCACAGGAAGUCGUUUAUCGACGACUUCUUCUUCACGUGAUGUUUGAGUCACUCCCGACACGACGCUGAUUUCAUCCAGAAUUCUCGUGAAACUCGUUUAUUUUCCUUGAACAGACGAAACUCUCUGUGAUCGACGAGUAAAAUCUGAAUCUAACAAGUCGACGACGUCAGGUUCAAACACGAGGGGAAGAAACGCGUUAUUUCCACGUCUGAUUCCAGCAAAUUUGUGAGAUGAUAACACAAAUGAGACUUUUAAAGGUCCAGAUUAAGACAAUAAUCCCACUAACGUGAUGUAAACGUGCACACUGAGGUUCCUCUCUGACACAAUCAUAUUCUCACAUAUGAGAAAUCUGCUGGUAAAUCAGCGUGUGAUUGGACGACGCGCUCCGUCCGCCGCCGUCUCCCGAGGACAGAAAAGAUCCAUUUGUUUGAGAGUGAGCCCGCGUGACGCGGCGGUUCAGCGGUCGAGCCCCGUGACAGGCGAGCGUGUGGGGGAGAAUCCCGCCGCUCGCAGACGCUCGCCGGCCUAUUUUCCGCUCGCCGCUCGUCCUGAUUGCCUGUGAAAGAUCAAUCAGCCGGCGGCGGCGCCGCUCGGCCGCUCUCCCCGCUGACACGCAGCCCAUAAAUAAAGUCACAUUACCGCGGCGUGGAGGAAGACGGCCACUUCUUCUUUAUUCCUCAUUAGGGCGAUGAUGGCUCUGUUGGAGCGCGGCCGCGGCGUUUCAUCCCCGACACGCAGCGAGCGAGAUUGUGCUCGGACAAACACGCGCGACCGUCUCAACUCAAAUCCUCCGCUUUGCUCCCAAUUUUCCGAGGCGACGCCGAGACACAACCUCUGUGAAUACAGACGUUACGUUCAACUCACUCUGGUUUAUGUGGAGCUUCAGCUUCUGAUUUGUCGCUUUAAACUUCACGGGAUUUUUGUGAAAUUGGACGGAGAAAGAGAGAAUCUGGUCGUUACGUGAUAUAAUUAUACAUUUACAUGAGGUUUUUCUGUAUUUUCAGCCUCUUUUUUACACUUAAAAGCUGUUUAAAAUUGUUUUAAAAAUACUGAACUACAGUAAAACUACUGAGAAAAGGUGUCAAUUUUAUGUCGUAUUGUUGCCAGAAUUUAUGUUACGCGUAAGAAAUAAGUAUAAACACAGACGUUACGUAGCGCGUAAAGUUAAAACUAAACACACUGGGUUAUAGGAGACGUGAGUUCCUGAUUCAUCUCGAACAGAAACGGUUUAAAACGUCACGUGAAAGAGAGAAUCUGGUCGUUACGUGAUAUAAUUAUACAUUUACAUGAGGUUUUUCUGUAUUUUCAGCCUCUUUUUUACACUUAAAGCUGUUUAAAAUUGUUUUAAAAAUACUGAACUACAGUAAAACUACUGAGAAAAGGUGUCAAUUUUAUGUCGUAUUUUUGCCAGAAAGUGAAUUUACGUUACGCGUAAGAAAUCAGUGUAAACACAGACGUUACGUAGCGCGUAAAGUUAAAACUAAAGCCUGCUUCACUCUGGUUUAUAUGGAGCUUUAGCUUCUGAUUUGUCUCCAACAGAAAAGCUUUAAACUUCACGUGAUUUUUGUGAAAUUGGACGGAGGAAGAGAGAAUCUGGUCGUUACGUGAUAUAAUUAUACAUUUACAUGAGGUUUUCCUGUAUUUUCAGCCAAUUUUUUACACUUAAAGCUGUUAAAAAUUGUGUAAAAAUACUGAACUACAGUAAAACUACUGAGAAAAGGUGUCAAUUUUAUGUCGUAUUGUUGCCAGAAAGGGAAUUUACAUUACGCGUAAGAAAUAAGUGUAAACACAGACGUUACGUAGCGCGUAAAGUUAAAACUAAACACACUGGGUUAUAUGAGACGUUAGUUCCGGAUUCAUCUCGAACAGAAACGGUUUAAAACGUCACGUGAAAGAGAGAAUCUGGUCGUUACCUGAUAUAAUUACACAUUUACUGUAGCCUCCUUUUUCCACAUAAAUCUGUUAAACUAGCUUAAAAAAUAUAAUGUGUUCCAUGUAUUCAGAUGCAGCCGAGGACAGAUUUAUGUCUUUUUUUACAGAAUGUCGAUUUCCAGAAUAUGUAAAAAAAUCGGCGAGAUGCAGAAACUGUUUAGUGUGUUGAAAAAAUGUUGAAAAAUGUCUUUGUUUGAAUGAUUUCUUUUGUUUUUUAUAGAACAAAGAAACCAGAACAUAUUCACAUGUAAGAAGCUGAAAAACCACAGAAACUGGUUUUAAUUGUUGUAUAACGUGAUUAAAAUACAUGUUCAUGGCUUUAUUAUGAAAUAUUUGCAGGACCAGCAGCGUUUUACUGACUUUAGAGCAACAUUUAGAUCAUUUAAGCUUCUUCAGUUUGGCUAAAUCCUCUUUAUCUUCAAUAAAAAGACAGAUUUCUAUCGAUUUAAACAGCGUUCUGUGCACCAGUCAAACAUAUAUGACAUCACUCUUGUUGUUUUUACAUAUUUAAACGUAGAAAUGUCACAUAAUUGAAUGGACUGGAGGAUUAUCUUCAUUAUUUGCGGUGAAUGUAACUGAACAUCAGCUCAUACAUAAACAUCUUUAAUGUAAUCAUCGUGUUUUUAUUCUACAAAUUAUUUUUUGUCUUAUUGAAUUAUGUUUUUUAGUCUUUUGUUAAUGAUUUUUAAUCCACUCUGUUUUCACUGUUUUGCUGUUUUUACUUGUUCGGCAUUUAUAGGUCGACAACAGUAUGA